GAAGCCCUGUUCCCAGCCGAUGCCAAAGCCUCCACUCUGUCAUCUUAUCCAAUUCAUCAGAUCUAUCUCACGUACAGAGGUCCAAGGACUCCAAGAAACUAGAUUCCAGCACCCUGCUUGGAACCAGAACUGUGCCAGUACUUUGGUGACCACCUCUAUGGACUCUGAGCUUUGCAGGCACCAAUCUUUCAACAUGAAUAAAAAUACUGAGCACCAGAUGAUUAAGACUACCUAUCCGAGAGAGAACCAGUACCCAACUAGAGAUAUGGAGAUUCUGAUUCAUGUCAAGGAUGAUAUCAUUACGUUUGUGGAAAAGGUGAAAGAAAAAGUCAACAAGGAAAAAGAGUCAAAGGGUGAGCACUGAGGUCUCGGUUGGUGGGGGCACUUAGGAAUGGUAAUUAUCACUGGAAAUUAUAGAACA
rnacentral:lncRNA from 1 species